rnacentral:rRNA from 1 species
GAGGAAUGUAUAGCAAUAGCUAGUUGCAUCAUAGUAGAUAUGAUGCAAGAUCGACUAUGUUGAAUAAAAUUCUAGGUAGAAUUAUGAUAAUGACAUUGUCUGCCUAUGUGUCUUGACCAAAUUACGUGCCAGCAGUCGCGGUAAUACGUAGAAGACUAGUGUUAUUCAUGUUUAAUCGGUUUAAAGGGUACCUAGACGGUAGAUCAAGCUUUCUAAUAAAGGAAAAGGACUAAUUUACUAGAGUUACUUAUGAGGGGGUAUUAAAGUACUGCUGGUGUAGAGAUGAAAUUCUGUCAUACCUCUUUUCAAAAGAAAAACCAUGGCACAGGUAUAGGCGAAGGCAUCCCCUUAUGUGAUAACUGACGUUGAGGGACGAAGGCUUUGUGUAGCGAACAGGAUUAGAUACCCCAGUAGUCGAAGCAGAAAAUGAUGAAUGUCAUAGAUUAGAUAUAUAAGUUUAUUCUAUAAAUGAAAGUGUAAGCAUUCCACCUCAUGAGUAAUUUGGCAACAUUGGAACUGAAAUCAUUAGACCGUUUCUGNAACCAG